UACGUAGGGUGCAAGCGUUGUCCGGAAUUAUUGGGCGUAAAGAGCUCGUAGGCGGUCUGUCGCGUCGGCUGUGAAAUCCCCGAGGCUCAACCUCGGGUCUGCAGUCGAUACGGGCAAACUAGAGUAUUGCAGGGGAGACUGGAAUUCCUGGUGUAGCGGUGAAAUGCGCAGAUAUCAGGAGGAACACCGGUGGCGAAGGCGGGUCUCUGGGCAAUAACUGACGCUGAGGAGCGAAAGCAUGGGGAGCGAACAGG
rnacentral:rRNA from 1 species